AGAGUUUGAUCCUGGCUCAGGAUGAACGCUGGCGGCGUGCCUAAUACAUGCAAGUCGAGCGAACAGACGAGGAGCUUGCUCCUUUGACGUUAGCGGCGGACGGGUGAGUAACACGUAGGUAACCUACCUAUAAGACUGGGAUAACUUCGGGAAACCGGAGCUAAUACCGGAUAAUAUAUUGAACCGCAUGGUUCAAUAGUGAAAGACGGUUUUGCUGUCACUUAUAGAUGGAUCCGCGCCGCAUUAGCUAGUUGGUAAGGUAACGGCUUACCAAGGCAACGAUGCGUAGCCGACCUGAGAGGGUGAUCGGCCACACUGGAACUGAGACACGGUCCAGACUCCUACGGGAGGCAGCAGUAGGGAAUCUUCCGCAAUGGGCGAAAGCCUGACGGAGCAACGCCGCGUGAGUGAUGAAGGUCUUCGGAUCGUAAAACUCUGUUAUUAGGGAAGAACAAACGUGUAAGUAACUGUGCACGUCUUGACGGUACCUAAUCAGAAAGCCACGGCUAACUACGUGCCAGCAGCCGCGGUAAUACGUAGGUGGCAAGCGUUAUCCGGAAUUAUUGGGCGUAAAGCGCGCGUAGGCGGUUUUUUAAGUCUGAUGUGAAAGCCCACGGCUCAACCGUGGAGGGUCAUUGGAAACUGGAAAACUUGAGUGCAGAAGAGGAAAGUGGAAUUCCAUGUGUAGCGGUGAAAUGCGCAGAGAUAUGGAGGAACACCAGUGGCGAAGGCGACUUUCUGGUCUGUAACUGACGCUGAUGUGCGAAAGCGUGGGGAUCAAACAGGAUUAGAUACCCUGGUAGUCCACGCCGUAAACGAUGAGUGCUAAGUGUUAGGGGGUUUCCGCCCCUUAGUGCUGCAGCUAACGCAUUAAGCACUCCGCCUGGGGAGUACGACCGCAAGGUUGAAACU
rnacentral:rRNA from 1 species